GCUCAUCAGAAUGGCUUUUAGUUCCACUGGAGACGCUGCAGCGAAACAGGAAGGGAGAAGUUCGAUGCUGUUUUUCAAGAUGUAUUCGGAUUCAACCUGCAGUGACAGACUCGCAGUGUGCGCUGUUGACCACAACAAGCAGCGCCAUUCCUCGUCACUCCUCACGCAGCUCCAGGCGAUUUCUCCAAGACGCUCUCCCAGGAAACCCUGAAGGUGAAACUGUCCAACAGACGGUCCGGGUUGCUCAGCUCAAACUCCAUCAGGAACUUUGGUGUUUCUGCACCAACAACCCAUAAAGCAGUGGUGUCCAAACGGUUUGCAACAUGGGUCAAAUUCCCACAGUUGAAAGUACUUGGGAGUGGCCAUGUUGGGGGCGGCCAUGUUGUUUUUCCAGCUUAAAAUUCGAAAUAAUUUUGUUGUGAUUUUUUUUUUCUUAUCAAACAAAGUGACUAUUUUUAAUCUUACCAAAAGUCGGACCGUUUCCUAACUUUUUGGGUAAUUUUAUUUCAGUAUAUUUGGUCUAGAAGAGCUUUUAGUCUAAAGAAGGCAAGGUUGUUAAAGAACUAAAUUUGUCAUUGAAAUUCUCAAAAUGGUAACUUCCUCGAACUGCAGUCAGGGGGCCACGCAGUGUUGUUCCAGGAGCCACAAAUGGCCCUCAGGCCACACUUUUGUGCACCCCUGCCAUAAAGCAACAACACCACCACACCUCAUCAUCUAAUCAACCAAAUCUUUGA